rnacentral:rRNA from 1 species
GACGAACGCUGGCGGCGUGCCUAAUACAUGCAAGUAGAACGCUGAAGGAGGAGCUUGCUCUUCUGGAUGAGUUGCGAACGGGUGAGUAACGCGUAGGUAACCUGCCUGGUAGCGGGGGAUAACUAUUGGAAACGAUAGCUAAUACCGCAUAAGAGUAGAUGUUGCAUGACAUUUGCUUAAAAGGUGCAAUUGCAUCACUACCAGAUGGACCUGCGUUGUAUUAGCUAGUUGGUGGGGUAACGGCUCACCAAGGCGACGAUACAUAGCCGACCUGGGAGGGUGAUCGGCCACACUGGGACUGAGACACGGCCCAGACUCCUACGGGAGGCAGCAGUAGGGAAUCUUCGGCAAUGGACGGAAGUCUGACCGAGCAACGCCGCGUGAGUGAAGAAGGUUUUCGGAUCGUAAAGCUCUGUUGUAAGAGAAGAACGAGUGUGAGAGUGGAAAGUUCACACUGUGACGGUAUCUUACCAGAAAGAGACGGCUAACUACGUG